rnacentral:rRNA from 1 species
AAAGCCUGACGCAGCGACGCCGCGUGAGGGAUGAAGGUUUUCGGAUCGUAAACCUCUGUCAGAAGGGAAGAAACCGCACCGUGCUAAUCAGCGGUGCCUUGACGGUACCUUCAAAGGAAGCACCGGCUAACUCCGUGCCAGCAGCCGCGGUAAUACGGAGGGUGCAAGCGUUACUCGGAAUCACUGGGCGUAAAGAGCACGUAGGCGGUCUUGCAAGUCAGAUGUGAAAUCCAACGGCUUAACCGUUGAACUGCAUUUGAAACUGCAAGGCUAGAGUAUGGGAGAGGUAGGUGGAAUUCUCGGUGUAGGGGUAAAAUCCGUAGAGAUCGAGAGGAAUACUCAUUGCGAAGGCGACCUGCUGGAACAUUACUGACGCUGAGGUGCGAAAGCGUGGGGAGCAAACA